AGCACCGGUCUCCAAAACCGGGGGCUGGGGGUUCGAGUCCCUCCUGGCCUGCCA
rnacentral:tRNA from 1 species